rnacentral:miRNA from 9 species
UUUUCAUCCUCGAGACUGUGCA